UAGGACAUCUGACAAUGUCAAUGAGAACGAACCCUAGUCUCCCAACGACAUUACAAUGUAUGAAUCCUGGUCCCCCACGAAUGCUUUGAGCACAAAGACUCUGCAAGAACCCAACAAGGGCUAACGGUACCUAUUCUUAGCAUGGGUCCAAUAAAGACUGAUGACAUGUCAUGACACAAACUCAUCAAAAUCCUAAGACAAAUUUGACCAAGAUCCAAAACCGAAGAGUAACUGUACUCGACAUUACCAAAAGUAAAGAUGAAAAUGGGUUGAAAGGCUGCCGUAUUACAUCCCAUUGCAUAACCAAGUCCUGCAACUAACAUCCACUAGAGAAAAACAAGAAACAUAGGCUCCACCCCUGGAAUGAUGCAAUUCUACACACCCUGCCACCAAAACCCGAGCAAUCCAAAUGACAAGGGAGAUAAGAACCAGGAGACACUCAUGCUCAGCCUCUGAGACCCAGAGGUCUGACAGGCUGUAAUUUGGCACCAAGCGCACCAAACAAUCGAAAGAUUGGCACCAAGAGGAAGAGACAUGGACGAGAACUAAAAACCAAAACGUCGCGAUCGAUUUCCAAGAACGAAAAGAAGAGAAUGUGGUGACCGGAAAAGGAAAAGAGGAAGAAGCUGCGACUCAAUCUAUCCGGAGACAUAAAAGACUCUGUGCUAACAACCGAGCAGCAGACACACAUGCGCCGUCGCCAAAGUUAUAAAGCUGACACACAACUGCUUCAUUAACGUUGAAGUCGCCAGCGAUAUGGAGACACAAGAAACACGAAACACGAAUGCUCAAAAAUGUUGAAACUUCCUGAGAAAAGAGGAAGCAAGACUUCUUCGGUAAGACACAAAGUCGAAGAGUAACCCAUGUGCCACCGCCCAUUCCACAGAAACUUCACCUUAGAAUAAAACUGAGGUUAAAGAUAAGAUCCCAUG
rnacentral:lncRNA from 1 species